rnacentral:lncRNA from 11 species
GGGAAAGCCACUCGAGUUCCCUUGUUUCAUUCUGAAUGGCUUCUGCCACUUUUGUAGGUGGAGGCUCACUUGUACACUCUGCUUGGAACUAAACUAAGAGGUUUCAAGUCUACAAUGUGCUGGAUCUAAAAGGAACAACUUGAGAAACUGCAGAUCACUUCUGGUGUGAGAGAAUUGGCCAUCUGAAAGGACGUUGCCUAUGGGACACCAGGAUUUUUGAGGUUUUACCAUCCUUGUGGGAGGCUUCUCUCAUACCUCCGCAUGGGAAGCUGGAACUGACAGAGGGAGCUUAUCCAUGUUCUGCCAAGGUUCAAACCAGCAACCUUCAGGAGAUUUUUUUUUACUUUUCAAACAAGAAGAGAGUGAAGAGAGAAGAUCUCCCUUUCAGAACUUUCCACCUCACCCACAGUACUUGUGUUCCAUGACAUUUUACCAGGCCUCAGGAAAAUUCCACUUUUUAUAAAGCCAUCCAUUGACAACAGUGGGAGUCUAACUGCUGCAUCAAAUAACUUUGGAAAGUUGGGUUUUUGACAGCUUCCAGAAUUUUUCAGCUUCUGGUUGGGGAGGGUGGUUCUGGGAGGAGAAAUCUGAAAGAUAUUUCUCCCAAACUCUUUCUGAACCAUCCUUCUUUCUGACGUGGGUUCUAUGUAACAAUAGGGAAGGGGCUUUGGCCCACCCAAGUUUUGAUUCACACCCCCCCCCCCACCACCACCACCACCACACAGGGCUGAAUGAUGUCAUUUGAGGGUCACCCAGGAAGAAAUGCAGUUGUUAGAGUAAAAAUGAAGUUGUAUUUGAAGAACACUUGAUAAUCAUGAAAGUGUUCAAUUUUUGGGGAGAAAAUGAGACUCUUUGGGGGUUUGAUGCUACAUGAUUAAAAGACUUUUAUGUUUAAAUGCCCACUAUGUAGUAUUUUGCUUAGACUGUCCACUCUGUGCAUGGGCAGAGUCAUUGAUUGUGACUGAGUCAGAAAUUAUUCAUGUCUUUAUCGAGUUUAUAUUCCAC